CAACGACAACGUAAACGACAGCGAUGCCAGAGUGCGAACAAUCGCGUCGGCAGCAGCCGUGUCGCAACUAGUUUCAUUUGAACUGUUGGCCGGUGAGCACACACACUGAGCGUGUGGAGAUAUCCGUCGGCGAUUCGAUUGUGUAUGAACGCGUUGAAAAUUGCGGAACGGUGUAGAGUUAUGUGACUCAAGAAAAAAAAAUUAAAUUAUAAAACAUAAAACGAAAAGCUUUAGCUGUAAAAAAUAUAAAGCCGAAAUACUAAGAAACGUGGCAACUGUGUGUGGUAUUUAAAGGCCUGAUACGCGCAAGAACAAUGCAAAAUAAUUGUGCAUACUUUUAGGCAAUUAAACUGCGAAAGAGAAGUGAAAAAAGUUCUCACUGAUGACUUAGGGAAGCACAUACAUUUUCGGAAGCGGAUCUAUGAAAAAUUCAAUACAAAACUUUCAGCAAAAAGCAGCGGAUCAAACAAAUAAAGCACACUUUAAUACAGAACUAAGAUACUCCCGAACGAAUUCAAGUGCGUGAAGUGUAUAAAUGGAAUAUAGAAAAAAUUUAGUGAGAAAAGUGCAUAAGUGAAUGCAGUAAAAUUGAAUUUGCAAUGACAUGUUUAGGGUUUUAUGUAAAGGAAAGAAAAGUAAAAUAUUAAAACUUUGAAAACGGGCAAAAACCAAAAAACUCGAACAGUGGAAAAAUUCACAAAAACUUUCACUGAUAGCUGUUACGCAUACGCAGCUGCGCAGUGGAAUUUUGUGUGGGGGUCAGAAAAAAUUUCAUCUCAAUUCAAUUUGGCUGCCUUCAUCAAAAUUGAUUCCUGCUGAGUAUUUGACAAGACAAAAUCACUUGCCGAACGCUUCGUUGAUAAACAAAAACACUAUUGUAUAAACACACAGCGCGCAAUUGUUAUUCUAAUGGCAACUACAUAUUUUUAUAAAUUUUUGUGUGCCGCAUAGUUUCAUACGCUAGUAAUAUUUUGUCGAGCGAAAAGUGUAAAACAAUGGCAAAAACAGGAAACGUAAUCUAAAAACAAAGUGAAACAAAAAAAAUAAAAAAUUUAGAAAAAAAAUAUUAAAUUCUACGAAAUUCUGCAACUGCAUAACUCAAUGCAAAUCGCAUGCAUCGCUGAGCUACUGCGGCUGUGUGGCAUCGAACGAGUGCGUGGCUUUGUUUUUUCUGCAAUUCUCGCAAGCGGCGUACAAUGAAACUGUUAAGCUUAGAAAACCAAAACAAAACUUUGAACUUUGCACAAGUUCAGCGAGUGGAAGGAAAUGCAAAAUAAUAAUAACAUGAAUUACAGUAAAAACAAAGAAAACAUUGGGUUAAAAUGAAAGUGAAGCGCUAUGCGAAAGUGAGGGAUUGGGGAAUAUAAGCAAACAAAAAAAAAAAAAGCUAGAAGAGUAAAAUGCAAAAACUAACAUCAAUUAAGUAAGCAACUGCUGCAGGUGUGUUAGUCGGUGAAAAUUUUCGCGAACACUGAAAAAGUGGGCGCGAAAUAAAAUA